rfam:Monosiga brevicollis MX1 MONBRscaffold_6 genomic scaffold, whole genome shotgun sequence.
GACACUGUGGCCGAGUGGUUAAGGCGCUAGCUUCAGGUGCUAGUAUGUUCGCAUGCGCGGGUUCGAGUCCCGUCGGUGUCA